GACGUAGGGCGCGAGCGUUGUCCGGAUUUAUUGGGCGUAAAGAGCUCGUAGGCGGCUUGUCGCGUCGACUGUGAAAACCCGCGGCUCAACUGCGGGCCUGCAGUCGAUACGGGCAGGCUAGAGUUCGGUAGGGGAGACUGGAAUUCCUGGUGUAGCGGUGAAAUGCGCAGAUAUCAGGAGGAACACCGGUGGCGAAGGCAGCUCGCUGGGACGUUACUGACGCUGAGACGCGAAAGCGUGGGGAGCAAACAGG
rnacentral:rRNA from 1 species